ACCAAUUGUUGUGGAAUUUCUUGAUUUAAUUGAUGAAGUAUUUCUAGAAAAUGAAGAAAGAAACGUUGCCAGGGACCCACGUCGGUAUUUGAGGGAUUUUAAAAAUCCACUGGAGUGGUUUAGUGACGUGCUGUUCAGACGACGAUAUCGUUUUACCAAGGAUCUUGUUCGGCAUCACAUUCUGCCUUUGCUAGUGUUUGAAGAACCACGGAGUCGUCGAGGAUUACCGCUACCGCCUGUCCUGCAGCUGCUAAUUGCCUUGCGAUUUUACGCAACAGGCACUUUCCAGAUGGUGGCAGGCGAGUUAACAGGCGUUAGCGAGUCCACAGUUUCCCGAAUUAUCAGACGUAUCUCUGUCGGUUUAGCGCAACAUACUCUACAUCUGAUACGGUUUCCCACUGGCGAUGAAUUUCGAUUGAACAAGCUACGAUUUUAACACUUUCCCGGUGUUACAGGAGUGACUGCACCCACAUAAAAAUCAAAAGCCCCGGUGGUGCUCGGGGGGAAGUAUACAGCUUAUUCGAAGAUGGGCGUGUGCAGGGACUGCUGCUGGGAGACAGUGGUUACCCACAGUUGCCAUACCUGUUCACGUACAGAUGCAGAGCAGAGGCCAACAAUGAUGUGCCAAUCCCACCAGUUCCUCUUCGACCUGGGCGCGCCAUGGCCAUCAGGAACGAGUUCAUCAUCCGGCAUUUCAAUUAGCUGUAUUGAAAUGAUUUUUACACACAUUGUUUUACGUGGGUUUUUUAAUUCAGUGACCAUGAUCGUACCGUUUAAUAUUAGGUUUGUUUGGCUGGAAUGAAUAUUUUAUGAUUUUUGCACUCAUUGUUAUGGCUACUUAUGAAUAAUUCAAUGAUAUAUCUUCAUUUGUUGCUAAGCCAUUCCAUUGCAUUUCCUUUAAUCCUUCACAUACCUACAGGCCCUGGCAUUUUGUUUCCAACUUGUAAACAAAUUUCAAUUAAAUUAAGAAAUUUUACAUGAACUUUCUAAUAAUGCAGCCUUUUACAAAUGUCUGAGUAAAGAAGUACAUUUGUUUAUAUUUUUGCUUUUUGAUUCUUUUGUAUUUUAACUUGAUGAAAUAGGUAAUGUUUUGUUAAAAGUAUUAUUGUGCAAACAUAUUUAUGUUGUCUCAAGUUUCAUUUUGUUCACUUACCUAUGAUAUAGGAUUGUA